rnacentral:rRNA from 1 species
UACGUAGGGUGCGAGCGUUGCCCGGAUUUAUUGGGCGUAAAGCGCGCGCAGGUGGCUCAUUACGCCCGGCGUGAAAGCCCCCGGCUCAACCGGGGAAGGUCGUCGGGUACGGGUGAGCUUGAAGGUAUCAGGGGCUGGUGGAAUUCCCGGUGUAGUGGUGAAAUGCGUAGAGAUCGGGAGGAACACCCGUGGCGAAGGCGACUACCUGGCCUGUUCUUGACGCUGAGGCGCGAAAGCUAGGGGAGCAAACAGG